rnacentral:rRNA from 1 species
GGAGGGCGACCGUUCCCAAGUCUCCUGAUCUUGGUCAUUUAGAGGAAGUAAAAGUCGUAACAAGGUUUCCGUAGGUGAACCUGCGGAAGGAUCAUUAACGAGUUUGAAAUCGAGAGCCUGUUGCUGGUGCGGAAACGCACAUCGUGCACGGCUCCCGUGCUCAAUCCAUUUCAACCCCCUUGUGCACCUUAUCGAAGUCAGUAGUCUUUCUCUUUUUGUUUGCCGGUUGUGUGUGGGAACCUCUUUCUGUUCACUUGGCCGGCGAGGAGAAACAGAGGGUCGAAAGCUUUGACUUUUCUAUUAAACACUUUGUAUGUCUUGUGGAACGUAUUAGCUCCUUUGUAGGGGCGAAAUAAAUACAACUUUCAACAACGGAUCUCUUGGCUCUCGCAUCGAUGAAGAACGCAGCGAAAUGCGAUAAGUAAUGUGAAUUGCAGAAUUCAGUGAAUCAUCGAAUCUUUGAACGCACCUUGCGCCCCUUGGUAUUCCGAGGGGCAUGCCUGUUUGAGUGUCAUGUUAAUCUCAAACCCCUUGUCUUUUUUGUUGACUUGGUCGGUUUGGACUUGGAGGUGUUGCUGGCGUGUGUACGCAGUACUAUGUGUCGGCUCCUCUUAAUUGCAUUAGCUGGACUUUGGUUCGCAUUUGACGGUGUAAUAGUAAAGUGUUCGCCGGGCGUGCUUGCCUAACGGGUCUGCUUCUAAUCGUCUUCGGACAACUCUGUUCAUUUUGACCUUUGACCUCAAAUCAGGUAGGACUACCCGCUGAACUUAAGCAUAUCAAUAAGCGGAGGAAAAGAAACUAACAAGGAUUCCCUUAGUAACUGCGAGUGAAGCGGGAAGAGCUCAAAUUUAAAAUCUGGCGGCUUUCGGUCGUCCGAGUUGUAAUCUGGAGAGGCAUUUUCCGCGUUGGACCGUGAAAAAUUUUCUCCCNGAAUNUUGGUUAUUUAAGGGAAGUAACCGAGCAGAGGAUCAGGGUGACGUAUUCUUGGUCAUUUAGUAGGAACUACCAGGCCGGGACGAGACGACGUGAUCUGAUGCUCG